CGUCGCCCCACGGACCUCCCGGUCGCGGCCGGUUACAACAGAGCCUGGGCGUGAACCCAGGGACUCUGAUGGCACAGCUGGCGCUGCAGUACAGCGCCCUUAACCACUGCACCACCCAGGAGGCCCAGGUCGUCAUAGGUUGACAAGGUCACCACCAUAUAGACAUUCAUUUUAUUAAGGGGCAGAAAACGGAGCUGAUUGUGGACUACAGGAAACGGAGGGCCGAGCACGCCCCCAUCCACAUUGACAGGGCUGUAGCGGAGAGGGUCGAGAGCUUCAAGUUCCUUGGUGUCUACAUCACUAAGGAAUAACAUGGUCCACACACAGCAACAGAGUCAUGCAGGCACAACAACGCCUUCCCCCAUUCAGGAGGCUGUCAUGCCAAAUAGUGUCCCACAGCCAAAUAGUGUCCCACAGCCAAAAAGUCAGGGUAAAUGCGAUCAUUGUUAUAGGUUAUUUACACUAUUUAUGAUAUUUUUUUAUCUUUAAAUCUCAGAUUAUUAUUGGAUAAAGUACAAAACAUGCUCCAUACAUGGUCAUUGAUGUUUACUUGCAUGCAAAACUUGAUUUAGCUAGCAUGAGCAUGCUGCAAGCAAGCAUGGAUACUGCAAAUGAUGGAUGCAAACACUACUGUGAGGUAAGACCACUUUUCCAAAUCUCUUUAUUUAGCUAGCUAGCUAAGCUUUGUAUUGCAUUAUUUGUCUUUGUAAUUCAGUUGAUUUAGAUAGCUAUCUCUUAUACAGAGUAGCAUAUGAAAAGUGCUAUAUCAUCUGUAAAAUUUGGGAUAAAGGUGAACUGCAUAAAUUAAUCUUCUGGUCAUCAUGAGUGAUCAGAUUGUACCUGGGUCUACCAUUAGAGAGGCUGGUUUCAGACUAUGAUCUAUAAGUAGAUCAUUAGAAACCCUGUUGCAGUGAGGUUAUUUUAUCAAUAACUGUACCCAUUGUAUAUCAAUGUAUGUGUGUAAAUUAAUUGAUUUCUUGCUGAAUUACUACAUUCAUAAUAGGUCAUUUAUCCUUUGUUUUUCUUGUUCCAUACCAGGCUGCCAUGGUGCGGGCCUCUCAAACAACUUCCUCCCAGCAACAACAGAAAUGCGAGCCAAGCUUUCAAAAAUAACAUCAGGAGGCAAGAGAAAUAGAUAUUUUACAUGUUUACAUUGCACAAUUUAUAUAUUUUUUAAAAUAGCAUAAUGUCUCAAUUACAAACAGUAUGUUGCCCUUGUUUUUUUAAAAGCGCCAUUCCUCUGGAAUCCCUACUAUCACUGCAGCGAGUGAAACUUCAACCAUGUCAGUCAGUAAACAACAAAAUCCUGCGUCUAGUGACGUUCAUUUGCCAACAAACUGCCCACUCGACUUGACUCGACGCCAACCCCUCCUCCCUCCUAUGUCUGACCACUGGCUGCUUUCUCUCCAACUUUGACUACCAGUCGUACCCCCCCCUCAAAAAAAUGAACACUUCUCCGACAGAACCGUCCACUGACCAUGGAUUUACCCUUCAACAUGGUAAAAGAGAAGCAAAACGGGGACAGACAGGUCGGAUCUAGGGGUUCUGGGACGCAUACCGUAUCCCUUCCCCAGACCUUGAUCCACCUGAUGUCCUCCAUGAUCAACCACCCUCCAAGAUCCCACUUUUCAUGACAUUAUCUACAGCUACUGUUAAUGUCAUGUGGUUUGAUAGAAUCUGCUUAGGGACCUGUGCAUGACAUAUCAUCCUAGGCACAGUGAGAUAAGCUACAGGGAAAGUGACCAGCAGAACCACUUGUAGCAUCCACAGCUUCUCUAUCCCACACAUCAGAAUUGAGAUAAAGGAUUUAAAAAAUCACUUUACUUAUAUGUACUUGUAAUUCAUACUUCUGUUUUCUCAACUAAAUUUUAUUGUUUGUGUUGAUGUUUGCCUAUACUCAUGUAUUUCAGUCUAUAACUGCCAUGUGGGUAUAUUAAAUAAAAUCAAGUUCAUUACACACCUGUACC